rnacentral:rRNA from 1 species
AGGGUUUGAUCAUGGCUCAGGAUGAACGCUGGCGGCGUGCUUAACACAUGCAAGUCGAGCGAAGCGGUUUUGGAAGUCUUCGGACGGAAAAGAGCGACUGAGCGGCGGACGGGUGAGUAACGCGUGGGUAACCUGCCUCGUACAGGGGGAUAACAGUUAGAAAUGACUGCUAAUACCGCAUAAGCGCACAGGAUUGCAUGAUCCGGUGUGAAAAACUGAGGUGGUACGAGAUGGACCCGCGUCUGAUUAGGUAGUUGGUGAGGUAACGGCUCACCAAGCCGACGAUCAGUAGCCGACCUGAGAGGGUGACCGGCCACAUUGGGACUGAGACACGGCCCAA